CUUUGUUUUCCCUUUUUAACUCCCUUAAGCAUCCCCGCUUUGUGGCUCCGUGCUCUUAGGGUUUUAAAGAAGGGUUUCUCUCUCCCUACCACUUCCAUUUUCCCUCUCUAAAGUGUAAGAAUCCCAAUUCCGGGAAGAGAAGAAGAAAAGCCAUGGAUAGAUAUACCAGGGUCGAAAAACCAAAGCCUGAGUCGCCGAUAAACGAAAACGAGAUCCGUAUCACCUCCGGUGGUCCUGUCAGAAACUAUAUAAGCUAUGCUACUUCCCUUCUUCAGGAGAAACAUGUAAGAGAGGUCGUCUUGAAAGCAAUGGGACAGGCAAUUAG
rnacentral:misc_RNA from 1 species